GGAAGAUCCAUGUCUAGGGAAUAGUUUCAUAAAUAUCUACCGCCACUGCAUGAAUAGAAGUAUUUUCUUAACAAAACCCUAGAUAGUACACAUUGAUGCACGACAACUACUUUCAAAGUUCUGUGUAAUGUCAAGAAUAAAAUUUGAAAAAAAUUGAUAUUUUAUAAACAUCAGAUUCCAUGGAAAAUAGAGAUUGAAAUUGUUGAAAGUCUUAACAGCAAUAACAAUAUAUUUGUUUUACUGAAACUUGUCUUUCCUUUAAGCCUAACUCUACAAUUAUCUGGCUAUGCGAACUUAGCAAUAGAUAUCUUCAUGCAUCUGGAGCUCUUAGGCCGCUGGAUUAGUUCUUACGUGGAUUACAUCUCUCUACGUAGAUUACAUCUAUGCACUCUUAAUUACGAACGCUGCGAAUGAAAUACCCACCACGUUGACUCAAGAGCAAAACUAUUGCUAAGCUGGCUCAAAUGUCAGUACAAACAAAUACGAGUGCAGGUCAGUUGGGUUAACAAAGCACGUGGCAUUGCCAGGGUCAGAUCCCUGGACAGGUGAUGCGUAAAAAGUAAUAAAGUAGAAGGGCAUUGUGUGGCCAGACCAGCGGAACAGACACCGGGAAAGAAACACCCACAGUGCGUGCGCAUAUGCAAAUAUCUCCAAAUGCGUGGCAGCUGCAAAUGCGGAAACAAAAGCCACAGAACAAGCAACAGGCAACAGGCAGCAGGCGAUGGGCAACAGGCUGCAGGCUGCAGGCCACAGGAUCAAACAGGGUCAGUUGAGGCCAGUGCAAACUAGAAAAAUAAACAAAGCCCUGGCGGAACGCACUGAACCUGCUCGCCAAGGAUCAUUUUUCUAGGAUAGCAUGUCUUGCACCUUGGCGCAAGUUCUCUGCUCAGCUCUCGGCACUUAAGGUAUUUGGUUUAUGGCCAAGCAGCCAGAACAGAUGUGUUUGGAUGCGCAACAAUGCCAGAGCGUAGACCAUUGCAUCAUAAUCAGCCAAAGUAGCUGUGAAUUGCUGCUCGACGAUUUAUGAUACUUUUAUAACAGGCAAUGGCUUAAUAAUAGACAGUUCUCUAUAGGUUCCAAGAAGCUGAGCCAUAUGCUAAGGCCAAAGGAUUCGCCCGCGGCACGUAAAACGUAAAACUCUUUAAACUGAAAGAAUACGCUGAGAACAAAGGCGAACUAUGCAGAUGCACAGAUCUGAAAUCAACAUCAACUGAAAUUUCACAGUUCGAUUGGACAAACAUAUCGCAACCUCUAUUGACAUAUCCAUAUCGAAAACUAACACAAAAGCUGAAAACCUGAAAUUCCAACAAUGACUUUCAAAGACUUUCGGCACAUGGCACCGCGAGCACUGCUAAUCAAAGGCAAAUCUGAAAUGAAAAAAGGAUUUCAAAUACAAAGAACACAGUUGACAAUAGUCCAGAGACAUUUCUGGGUCAUGUUUGCGCAAACACUCAAUUGCAGACGCAAACUGCAAUCCUUCGAUUCGCCAGCAAUUGUCGCUAUUGUCACAAUUGGCCAAAGGUUUGCCAAAGGGUUUGGGCCCCGUCGCACUCGUUGGUGACAACGCAAGCUGCAAAAAUAUUGUCAAAAUUGUAUAAAUUUGCAGGCAAUUGCAUACAAUUGCCAAGGGGUUAUUCCUGAAAAUCAUAUCUAAUUUUGUAGGCUUUGUGUGCGUCGAUUGAGUUAUCGAGAACCCAACAUACAUUUAUGUUGUGCAAAUAUUGUGGGGGCUAGGCAACAAAUACAGCUGCCGAUGGAUUAAUGCAAGAAUCAUACACAUAAUGAAUAGCCAACAUUAUAGAACAGAGUUAACAUCUGCCCCCACACAGAGGCCAGGCUCGCGUGUUAAAGUAAAUAGAAGCAAGAUUUUUAGUAGAAAUGGAGAUAAAGUUUCUAAACAUCUUUUGAUUAGCUUUUGCGAUUUGUAAUUAGAAUAAGUCAUUCAGUCUAAA